GAGUUUGAACCUGGCUCAGGAUGAACGCUGGCGGCGUGCCUAAUACAUGCAAGUCGAGCGAACCACUUCGGUGGUGAGCGGCGAACGGGUGAGUAACACGUAGGUGAUCUGCCCAUCAGACGGGGACAACGAUUGGAAACGAUCGCUAAUACCGGAUAGGACGAAAGUUUAAAGGUGCUUCUGGCACCGCUGAUGGAUGAGCCUGCGGCGCAUUAGCUAGUUGGUAGGGUAAAGGCCUACCAAGGCGACGAUGCGUAGCCGACCUGAGAGGGUGAACGGCCACACUGGGACUGAGACACGGCCCAGACUCCUACGGGAGGCAGCAGUAGGGAAUCUUCGGCAAUGGGCGAAAGCCUGACCGAGCAACGCCGCGUGAAUGAUGAAGGCCUUCGGGUUGUAAAAUUCUGUUAUAAGGGAAGAACGACUUUAGUAGGAAAUGGCUAGAGUGUGACGGUACCUUAUGAGAAAGCCACGGCUAACUACGUGCCAGCAGCCGCGGUAAUACGUAGGUGGCGAGCGUUAUCCGGAAUUAUUGGGCGUAAAGAGCGCGCAGGUGGUUGAUUAAGUCUGAUGUGAAAGCCCACGGCUUAACCGUGGAGGGUCAUUGGAAACUGGUCGACUUGAGUGCGGAAGA
rnacentral:rRNA from 1 species